rnacentral:tRNA from 1 species
GCCUCGGUAGUCUAAAAGUUUAGAACGCUCGCACGGAAUGCAAGAGAUCCAGGUUAGACUCCAGGCCGAGGUA